AUUGAACGCUGGCGGCAGGCCUAACACAUGCAAGUCGAGCGAGCGGCGGACGGGUGAGGAUUGUAUGGGGACUGCCCGCUAGAGGGGGAUAACUACUGGAAACGGUGUCUAAUACCCCAUACUGUCGGAUAACCCAUAUGGGAUUUGCUAGUAGGUAAGGUAAUGUCUUACCUAGGCGACGAUCCCUAGCUGGUCUGAGAGGAUGAUCAGCCACACUGGGACUGAGACACGGCCCAGACUCCUACGGAGGCAGCAGGGGGGAAUAUUGCACAAUGGGCGCAAGCCUGAUGCAGCCAUGCCGCGUGUAUGAAGAAGGCCCUAGGGUUGUAAAGUACUUUCAGUCGGGAGGCGUUACCGACAGAAGAAGCACCUGCUAACUCCGUGCCAGCAGCCGCGGUAAUUC
rnacentral:rRNA from 1 species